CUACGGGUGGCUGCAGUUAGGCAUCUUUUGCAAUGCGCGAAAGCGUGACAAAUUGAGUCAGAGUGCUUUUCAAUAUGAAAAGCUUUUGCCAAAUGUAAAAAGUUUGGCGAAUAAGGACUGGGUAAGACGAGUGCCAGCCGCCGCGGUAAUACUCGCGGUCCAAGUUGCAGCCAUUUUUAUUGGGUCUAAAACAUCCGUAGCUUGCUUGGUAAGUUUUCUGUGAAAUCCGGCAUCUUAAGUGUUGGGCGCGCAGAAAGUACUGCUAAGCUAGAGACUGGGAGACGUAAAGAGUACGAUUUAGGUAGUGGUAAAAUACUUUAAUCUUAAUCGGACUAACAAUAGCGAAGGCACUUUACGAGAACAGUUCUGACAGUAAGGGAUGAAGGCUAGGGGCGCAAAACGGAUUAGAUACCCUUGUAGUC
rnacentral:rRNA from 1 species